UUUUUGCAUAAGUAACACUAUAAUGUAUUAGUUUUUAAGUAAGUAUCAUUUGUUAGUAAUACUAACAUGUGUUACGGUUUUUUAUUUAAAAAAAAAAAGUAAAAAGAAACAUUUACGACUUAAAAACUGACUAAUCCCCAAUUUACCAAUCUACGCCUCAAAUCAUUUUGUCUCUCUCUCUCAACACGCUUCUCCUCCCAUCGUUUUAAUCUCAUUUCUUUCCUCAAUUUAUGUGCACACUCUAAAUCCUCCAUUGAAGCGAAUUCUUAACUUUCUUUCCUCCUUUGAAGCAGCUUCUAAGGUAUAAGAAGAUUUGACAAACUUGCAAAGAAAGUUGAGGAAGAUGAUAAAAAGGAGAGGGUGUCGUGAACCUCCCUAGGAGCGGCCACUCCUGCCCCUCUACACCACAAACUGCAUCAUCCACAACAAUAAGAGCGGGCUGCUGCUACUGCUGUUGUUACUGAUGUUUUGCUACUAUUGUUUGCUGCCACUGAUGUGUGUUGCUGACUCCUGCUACUGCUGUUUGCUGCCACUGCUGGUUGCUGCCACCGCUGUCUGCUACUGCUGUUUGCUGCCACUGCUAUUUGCUGCCACCGCUGUCUGCUACUGCUGUUUGGUGCUAUAUACUGCCACUGGUAGCUUAUGUUACUACUGCUGCUGUUCUGCUAGCUAUCUGCUGUUCACCGCUAUUACCGACUAAUUUUUGAAAAUUUGAAGUUUUUCUUAUUUCCUCGCUCUUUCUAUGCUAGAGAUUGAAGUUGAAUUUCUUUUUGUUUGGAUUAUUAUAUUGUUGGGACAAACAUUAAAAUAGGUGUAUGGAUUUUAUUUUGUAAGAACUAUGAAAUUAUUUCAAUCCAAAUUGAUGUCUAUCAUAUA